AACGAACGCUGGCGGCAUGCCUAACACAUGCAAGUCGAACGAGACCUUCGGGUCUAGUGGCGCACGGGUGCGUAACGCGUGGGAACCUGCCCUUAGGUUCGGAAUAACUCCCCGAAAGGGGUGCUAAUACCGGAUAAUGUCUUCGGACCAAAGAUUUAUCGCCUUUGGAUGGGCCCGCGUUGGAUUAGCUAGUUGGUAGGGUAAAAGCCUACCAGGGCGACGAUCCAUAGCUGGUCUGAGAGGAUGAUCAGCCACACUGGGACUGAGACACGGCCCAGACUCCUACGGGAGGCAGCAGUGGGGAAUAGUGGACAAUGGGGGAAAGCCUGAUCCAGCAAUGCCGCGUGAGUGAUGAAGGCAUUAGGGUUGUAAAGCUCUUUUACCCGGGAUGAUAAUGACAGUACCGGGAGAAUAAGCGCCGGCUAACUCCGUG
rnacentral:rRNA from 1 species